rnacentral:rRNA from 1 species
GACGAACGCUGGCGGCGUGCUUAACACAUGCAAGUCGAACGGAAAGGCCCUGCUUUUGUGGGGCGCUCGAGUGGCGAACGGGUGAGUAACACGUGAGUAACCUGCCCUUGACUUUGGGAUAACUUCAGGAAACUGGGGCUAAUACCGGAUAGGAGCUCCUGCUGCAUGGAGGGGGUGGGAAAGUUUCGGCGGUUGGGGAUGGACUGGCGGCUUAUCAGAUUGUUGGUGGGGUAGGUGCUUACCAAGGCUGUGACGGGUCGCCGGCCUGAGAGGGUGACCGGCCACAUUGGGACUGAGAUACGGCCCAGACUGCUACGGGCGGCAGCAGUGGGGAAUGUUGCACAAUGGGCGGAAGCCUGAUGCAGCAACGCCGCGUGCGGGAUGACGGCCUUCUGGUUGUAAACCGCUUUCGCCUGUGACGAAGCGUGAGUGACGGUAAUGGGUAAAGAAGCACCGGCUAACUACGUG